ACUUAUUUCAGCUUGGUUUGUGCUGCAUGCAAUAUGUCUAUUAUAAACCUUUACAUAACUUCCCCUUAGAGUGCUUUCUUACAGAUGAGUGAAGCUUUCACUCUUCAUAAAUGUUUGAAUAGACAAGAUCAAGCAGGUGGUAAUAUAAUGCAUUAUAUAAUGGAAAUAAGUAGUUAAAGAAAACGUUGGAAGCUAGUUAUAUCAGAGGGAGAUCGUAGGGCAGUGAAGGGGUUAACCUUAAUUUAGAAAUGUAAACAAAAGCGGUAAUACUAAAAAAUCUAAAAACUAUCUUAAAG